rnacentral:rRNA from 1 species
GAUGAACGCUGGCGGCGUGCCUAAUACAUGCAAGUCGAGCGAACAGACGAGGAGCUUGCUCCUCUGACGUUAGCGGCGGACGGGUGAUUAACACGUGGAUAACCUACCUAUAAGACUGGGAUAACUUCGGGAAACCGGAGCUAAUACCGGAUAAUAUAUUGAACCGCAUGGUUCAAUAGUGAAAGACGGUUUUGCUGUCACUUAUAGAUGGAUCCGCGCCGCAUUGGCUAGUUGGUAAGGUAACGGCUUACCAAGGCAACGAUGCGUAGCCGACCUGAGAGGGUGAUCGGCCACACUGGAACUGAGACACGGUCCAGACUCCUACGGGAGGCAGCAGUAGGGAAUCUUCCGCAAUGGGCGAAAGCCUGACGGAGCAACGCCGCGUGAGUGAUGAAGGUCUUCGGAUCGUAAAACUCUGUUAUUAGGGAAGAACAAAUGUGUAAGUAACUAUGCACGUCUUGACGGUACCUAAUCAGAAAGCCACGGCUAACUACGUG